CUCCUAAUAGCUCAAUUGGAUAGAGCACUAGCUUGCGGUGCUAGAGGCUAUAAGUUCGAAUCUUAUUUAGGAGG
rnacentral:tRNA from 1 species